rnacentral:rRNA from 1 species
GACGAACGCUGGCGGCGUGCUUAACACAUGCAAGUCGUACGGUAAGGCCCUUUCGGGGGUACACGAGUGGCGAACGCGGGAGUAACACGUACGUAACCUGCCCCCAACUUUGGGAUAACGCUAAGAAACUGGUGCUAAUACUGGAUAUGUGCUCCUGCUUCAUGGUGGGGGUUGGAAAGCUCCGGCGGUUGUGGAUGGACUCGCGGCCUAUCAGCUUGUUGGUGGGGUAGUGGCCUACCAAGGCGGCGUCGGGUAGCCGGCCUGAGAGGGUGACCGGCCACAUUGGGACUGAGGGACGGCACAGACUCCUACGGGAGGCAGCAGGGGGGAAUAUUGCAGAAGGGGCGCAAGCCUGAUGCAGCAACGCCGCGUGCGGGAUGACGGCCUUCGGGUUGUAAACCGCAUUCAGCAGGGACGAAGCUUUUCGUGACGGUACCUGCAGAAGAAGCACCGGCUAACUACGUG